GUGUUUGAUCCCCAAAAUUCAGAGCUAGGUCUGGUCAGUGGUCAGUGGGAAUUGGGGACGAAGGAAGGAAGUGGAGACUUUAGACUGCAGAGCCAAAGGAGAUGGUAAGUGGUGGCUUGUGUAUGCACCGAAGGCUGGAGAGGUGGUGUAGAGGGAAGAAGUGUCUUCAGGUCCACAGUUCUAGAUUUUACUCCAAGGGCCCCAUGGGCAAGGUGUGUAUCGAUCGAGCUGCUGUGUCUGCUUACAUUAUCUACCAGACAUGAUGGUUGUUGAAGUCUGUCUCACUCAGCAUCCCAACCCUGCUUGUCUGAACCAGAAGG
rnacentral:lncRNA from 1 species